CACUUCCUUGAAUGAGACACUCAUACGUGGUCAGAUAAGAUAGGGCUGCCUCUUAGAGAUUCAUAAACUACAUUAGUGACUUAAAGGCUCUGAUAAGUCCUGCAGUGAGAAGACCUGUUUAUAAUUUUGUUUUUACUGGCACCAUACAAGACCUUGAACUCUCCUGCUCCUGUUUCUAGAUGCCUAGUAACAGCUUGAAGUACAUUGGUAAAUUCUGAUCUUGUCUACCUCUUCAUAAGACCAACAGUAAAACUGAGGCUCCAGAGGCUGUGGGAUUUGCUCAGGGCCACACCGCCAGAAGUAGAUCCAGCCAUCCUGACUCAGAACCAGCCAGAGAGGCCUGACAUUGAAUGUCAGACACUGCCAGGGAGAAGUGGGUAAUCUCAGCUCCCAAUGACCCCAUUUUACAGACGUGGAAAUUGAGACUGCAUGACUCACCCAAAGCCUCUGGAUUAGUAAGAUACUUAGCUGAGAUCUCAACAUGGAGCUGCCAGACCCCACCUGUUAUGAAGCACCUACAAAAGAGGAUGGUGAAAAACCC
rnacentral:lncRNA from 10 species